rnacentral:rRNA from 2 species
CACCCCUCGGGGUGUGUUAUAGCCUCCUACUGGAUACAGCGACCGAGACCGAGGACAGCAGCGUACUCGCAAGAGCGGGCCUUCGGGCACCUUUACGCUUAGGGCGUUGGCAUAAUGGCCCUCUACCACCCGUCUUGAAACACGGACCAAGGAGUCUAACAUGUAUGCGAGUCUUUGGGUGGCAAACCCAUAGGCGCAAUGAAAGUGAAUUCAGGUGGGAUCCGCAAGGUGCACCAUCGACCGAUCCUCACGUCUUUUAAGUCGUGGAUUUGAGUAAGAGCAUACCUGUUGGGACCCGAAAGAUGGUGAACUAUGCCUGAAUAGGGUGAAGCCAGAGGAAACUCUGGUGGAGGCUCGUAGCGGUUCUGACGUGCAAAUCGAUCGUCAAAUUUGGGUAUAGGGGCGAAAGACUAAUC